CCUGCUAACCAGUGUGUAUCUGCGUGUCACCUUGCUUUAAAACUGCUUUUCUACACUCCUGAUCAUACUGGUACUGGGGGAAAAAAUUGUUCUUGGUUUCUGGGUAGCUACACAAUUUUUUCUUUUCUUGUGUAUUUUCACUUAGGUACAAAUUAGAUGGGAGGCAUUUCAUCCAGUGUCAGCUCAAAGGAAACGACGUUGAAUGGAGUAAACUUCCAACUUGUAAAUUAAUUACCUGCUCUUCACCUCCUCAAAUUAGCAACGGAAAGCAUGAUGGCGAAGGUGUAGAAAAAUUUGCUUAUAACUCAACCGUGACUUACAGCUGUGACUCUGGCUUCCUGCUCGUUGGAAAUGUGAGCAUCCGUUGUACGAGUACGGACAAAACAAACGGAGUCUGGAGUGGAGCUGUGCCUGAAUGCAAAGAGAAAAGCACAUCUGUCAAACUUGGAGCAAAAGAAAUGGAAAGGAGUCCUCCUCCCCAAAGUGAGUUGAAAAGAUUGUAUCUUAAGUCCCACGUUUCCCAACUUAAUUUGCUCCUUUAUCACAUUUCUAUGAAAAAGCCACUCAAUGAAUUUCACACCACGAUUUUCUUUCUUUUCAGAUUCCCGUGGAAAUGGCAUCCAACCAUCUAAGAAGGCUUUCAUGUGGGAAAUGAAGCUCAGUCUAUAUAAAAAGUCACUGCAAAAUACCAUCUCCUUCUCCCACUCUUCUUCUUUCUCCAGGACACCAGUGUCAAGGAGCUGUGCUACCUCGGCGUUCCGAUUCGUUGUACCUUUGUACAAAACCCAAAACUACUAUUCUCCUGGGACAAACCAAGGACCCAAGUGUCUUCCAAAGUACAUGGGGAUCUCUGGCAUCCUCCCACAAGCCGGCUGCUUUGAAAACUUAAAACGGUCUAAAGUUGCAUCAUUUUGUGGAACGAGGUUGUGGGCAGCCAGGAGAAGCUGGACAUGGCAGAAGUGCUGCUACAACAGAUUCCCCAUCCGUUGCAAAGGAUUAUUUUACCCAUAAAAAGGGCUGCGUAUACGGACUGUGGCAAGUGCACAGAAAGAUUUAUCUGCAGCUUUGAAGCAGUUUAUUUGUGACGGCUCUGCCCUCCUCCAGCGAUGCCGUGACAAAAGGACCCCCGUGGAAGGAACCCUGGGAGGAGGCAUUUGCACUUUCCUUGCAUGGUUGCACAGACAACUGGCACGUGCUGCUCUUCCUGCCAUCUCACUGCAGAUGUAUACAAGACACGCAGUUAAAUGGGAUCCCACCUAUCUAAAUAUAUUGUUGUCUUUUAAACCAAAAAUAGUACUGUAAGCAUGAAGCAUGUAAACCCUUCACCGUGUUCUGUUUCUAAAGUGUCCUAUGCAAUGGUCGUACUUGUUAGGACUCUGACGCUUUGCUUUAAAACAAAGAAUAAGCUAGAUCAGGUCUGCCCAAUGUACAUGUACAAAAUGUAUUUUUUGAAUUGUGAUAUGUUUUAAUGUUCCAAGAAAUUGAUUGAAAAUUA